GGUCAGUGGGGAGUCCUGCGAGAGAUAAAUCUUGCUCUUCACUUUCUCCAGCCUCAUCCGGGACUGCGUAGACCACGGAGGAAGAUGAAGAUCGCCCUGCUCAGCAUGGCCCUGCUCCUCGCCAUGCUAUGCCUCCCAGCAGAUGCUCUGUUCCUGAAAGACUCUGAGUUUGCGGCAAGUGGAGGCUUUGAUCUGGAACUGAAGUUUCUGCGAGGGAAGAGGGCUCUGCAGCCUGUGCCUGUUGAGGUGGUGGCAGCAGUGCGCAAGAAACGCCUGGCUGCAGAUCUCUAUGCCUAGGCCCACAGAUUGUGAUGAACCCCCAUCCUGUCCCCCCCCAGUUACAUGAAGAGACGGUCAUCCCUGGAUCGUGCUGCCAGAUCCUCUGGAUGAUAUGGCCCAUUUCCCCUCCGUCUGCAAUAAACACCUUCAGCAAAGCUA